GCUGACAUAGCUCAAUUGGUAGAGCAGCUGAUUUGUAAUCAGCAGGUUGUAGGUUCAAGUCCUAUUGUCAGCUCCA
rnacentral:tRNA from 1 species